GUGGAUUAGAUACCCUAGUAGUCCACGCCCUAAACGAUGAAUACUCGAUGUUGGCGAUAUACGGUCAGCGUCUAAGCGAAAGCGUUAAGUAUUCCACCUGGGGAGUACGCCCGCAAGGGUGAAACUCAAAGGAAUUGACGGGGGCCCGCACAAGCGGAGGAGCAUGUGGUUUAAUUUGAUGAUACGCGAGGAACCUUACCCGGGCUUGAAAGUUAGUGAAUUGAGCAGAGACGCUCAAGUCCUUCGGGACACGAAACUAGGUGCUGCACGGCUGUCGUCAACU
rnacentral:rRNA from 1 species